rnacentral:rRNA from 1 species
GACGAACGCUGGCGGCGUGCCUAACACAUGCAAGUCAACUUGACUGAAGGAGCAAUCUGACAGUAGAGUGGCGCAAGGGUGCGUAACGCGUAAGUAACUUGCCCCAAGGUAAGGAAUAACGUCGAGAAAUCGGCGCUAAUACCUCAUAAUGCAGCGGAUCCGCAUGGAUAUGUUGUUAAAGGUUAUCGCCUUGGGAUAGGCUUGCGUCUGAUUAGCUAGUUGGUGUGGUAACGGCACACCAAGGCUACGAUCAGUAACUGGUCUGAGAGGAUGAUCAGUCACACUGGAACUGAGACACGGUCCAGACUCCUACGGGAGGCAGCAGUGAGGAAUAUGGC